GAUUUGUUCAAUCAGAGUUUACUCUCGGAGCGUCGUCAAGGCAGCUUAUGGCAACAUGCUAACAUGCUAACAUGCUAACCCACCGGGAAUGUUUACGGUUGAAAAAAACGGACACGGUAAAACAAAAAGACCCAGAAAAGAUUCCUCUGCGAGCGAAGAUCGGCCGCACGGCCUGAUGGGAAACUGAGGAGGAAGUUAGUGAACUUUUGUGAGCAGUUUAACGGUUCACCUGUUGCCUCUGCUAGCUCUGCUGCUAGCCUGCUAACGGCUAACAGAGCUGCUGGCAGUUUGAAAAGUUUGCGAAGAUAGAGACGCCGGGGAUUAGACGGAGCCAUAGGGCCGCCGGGGAUUAGACGGAGCCCUAGAGAGGCCGGGGGUUAGACGGAUCCAUAGUGAGGCCGGCAUUAGACGGAGCCAUAGAGAGGCAGGGGUUUAGACGGAGCCGCAGAGAGGCCGGGAAUUAGACGGAGCCCUGACGAUGGAAGGAGUGAGACACUCCCCGGUUCUGUCCGCUCUGUUCGGGAUGACUGAAGACUCCGAGACGCUGGGAGCCGCGCAGCUUAUUAAAGAGCGUCUGUACUUUGCCACGCUGCGUAGUAAACCUAAGAGUACGGCCAACACUCACUACUUCUGCACCGAUGAUGAGUUCAUCUAUGAGAAUUUCUACUCAGACUUCGGUCCUCUGAACCUGGCCAUGUUGUACCGAUACUGCUGCAAACUCAACAAGAAGCUGAAGGUGAGUUUCUGCUGCUGACCCUCCUCUCACAGGAAUGUCCAGAAUGCAACG